ensembl:antisense Prkag2os1 protein kinase, AMP-activated, gamma 2 non-catalytic subunit, opposite strand 1
GACAGAGAAGAAGCCAGACAGCGGGGAGGCUGGCUUCAUCCUUUCCAGGAUGCCUAGGAAGAACCAAUCAAUACCUGGGAGACGAUACAUCUCCUUUCCACGUUACACGGGGACUAAAAUUUCAUUCCAGAAACUUCUGGGGUGCAGACACCUUCCAAAGCACAGUCCACAGGACAACUCCUGUACCUUCUUAAGCCUAGGACACCGUUAGGAUAUGUUUGAACCUGACUUUGGAUAUACUAAAACAUGUGGCAAUAUGUUAAAUACAGGAAACUGUGCACCUGUUCAUGUAUGGUGACGCCACGGAGGGCCAGACUGCUGCAGUGCCCAAGGUGUGCCAUCUCCACAGAGAACCCAUCUUCACUCCCUUUAGGCAAUUCCCUCCCACCAGAGGCAGGAAGCAAACUACAACACCACGCUGGAGCAGCAAACGUAACCAUGUGAGCUAUCACGCACCAGCUCCUUCCUUAUUUCUGAUCACCCUGGACUCAGUUAGCCCGGCUUCCCACAGUAAGACUGUGUCUAGACUGUGGGGACAACAGGCUGGGAGCCAGGAAUGGACCUCAAGCCUACGAGAGCAUCCAAGCUGCUUUACUAAUACCUUUGAACCUUCCGAUGACUGGAACAGAGUUGAAAUUUAUCAGAAAAUAGAAAAACAGCUUUGGCACAGCACUACCAGUCAUCAUGUACGUCUCUGAAUAACAAAUGUUCAUCUCUAGGUCAUGCCUCCAGAUGUGUAAUUGAAGAUACUAACUGGAUGAAUGAACAACUUAAAGUUCCAGGGGAACAAAGCGCUGUUCUGGAUGAUUCCGCCAGCACCACUCCCUCUUCCAGUUCAGCUUCACAGCUAUCCAGGGGUGAAGAGUGGGCACACAGCGAACUUUGAGAAAUGCACAUAAUAUGAAUCUCAAGGAAAGAGAAAAGCCACGAAAUCUAUACUAAGCGGAAUCCCCAUGUUAAGAUUCACCAAUAAAAGCCUUUUAGAGUCUGG